rnacentral:rRNA from 1 species
UCGUUAGAUCACCGAAGUUAAGCAUCAUUGGGCGCGGUCAGUACUUGGGAGGGUGACCACCUGGGAACACUGCGUGCCGUU